GAUGAACGCUGGCGGCUUGCCUAAUACAUGCAAGUCGAGCGAACGGACGAGAAGCUUGCUUCUCUGAUGUUAGCGGCGGACGGGUGAGUAACACGUGGAUAACCUACCUAUAAGACUGGGAUAACUUCGGGAAACCGGAGCUAAUUCCGGAUAAUAUUUUGAACCGCAUGGUUCAAAAGUGAAAGACGGUCUUGCUGUCACUUAUAGAUGGAUCCGCGCUGCAUUAGCUAGUUGGUAAGGUAACGGCUUACCAAGGCAACGAUGCAUAGCCGACCUGAGAGGGUGAUCGGCCACACUGGAACUGAGACACGGUCCAGACUCCUACGGGAGGCAGCAGUAGGGAAUCUUCCGCAAUGGGCGAAAGCCUGACGGAGCAACGCCGCGUGAGUGAUGAAGGUCUUCGGAUCGUAAAACUCUGUUAUUAGGGAAGAACAUAUGUGUAAGUAACUGUGCACAUCUUGACGGUACCUAAUCAGAAAGCCACGGCUAACUACGUG
rnacentral:rRNA from 1 species